rnacentral:rRNA from 1 species
UAGUCAUAUGCUUGUCUCAAAGAUUAAGCCAUGCAUGUCUAAGCACAAGCCGAUUAAUGGUGAAGCCGCGAAUGGCUCAUUACAACAGCCAUAGUUUCUUAGAUCUUACUUUCCUACUUGGAUAACUGUGGUAAUUCUAGAGCUAAUACACGCAUGAAAGCUCUGACCGUUUGGGAGGAGCGCAUUUAUUAGAACAAAACCAAUCGGGCCUUCGGGCCCGCCAAUUGGUGAAUCUGAAUAACUUUGCAGAUCGCACGGUCUCGUACCGGCGACGUAUCUUUCAAAUGUCUGCCUUAUCAACUUUAGAUGGUAGUUUACACGCCUACCAUGGUUGUAACGGGUAACGGAGAAUAAGGGUUCGACUCCGGAGAGGGAGCCUGAGAAAUGGCUACCACAUCCAAGGAAGGCAGCAGGCACGCAAAUUACCCACUCCCGGCACGGGGAGGUAGUGACGAAAAAUAACGAGGCGGUUCUCUACGAGGCCCGCCAUCGGAAUGGGUACAAUUUAAAUCCUUUAACGAGGAUCUAUU